CGGAAAACUACUGAGCUCAUCUGGGUUACUUGUUUGGUAUCUUAUUCUGCUUGAAUAUGUCAAAGUGGCACAGCAAACCUGACAAUGAAGUGAUCUGACAUCAGGUCUGCAGAAAUUGAUACCACUGCAAAAAUAGAUUCCUUGCCCUUUGCAGUCAGUGGGAGAAUAAACCAUGGACUUCCACAUGGUCUCCUGAGUUAGCACAUGCCACAGACCUCAGCAUGAUCUCUGGUAACAGUACAGACCACAGACAUCAACUGGGACCUCUGCCACAGCACAGGCUACAAACACCGUCAUAACCAUCAUGGCCCUUGGUGGAAAUACAGACUAAAGACAUCAACAUGGCCUCUGGAGCAACACAGAUCAUGGACGCCAAUAUGGUCUCUGGCAGCAGACCAUGGAUAUCAACAUGGCCUCAGGUGGCAGUGGAGACCACCCACUUCAGCAUUGCCCCCCAGCAGCAACACAGCCCACAGAUAACAACAUGGUGUCAGGCCACAACACCGACCACAGACAUCUGAAUGUCCUUUGGUGGUAACACAGACCACAGACAUCAGUAGAGUCCCCUGCUGGAGUAGGACCACAGACCCAGACCUGACCCACAGUGGCAGAAGUCUUUUCCUUUUUUAAGCUAACAUAAAAAGUUAUCAGUAAGUCAAGCAUGGUCACCCAUGCCUUUAAUACUAGCACUCAGGAAGAAGAGGCAGGUGGACCUCUGGGAGUUAAAGGACAGCCUGAUCUUCAAAGCAAGU